GUAUAGAAAAACCACAGAAAUGCUUUUCUUUGUUUUUUUCUUCUCACAGUGUGCACAGACAGCGGACAAUCUUAAGUGAUCUUUCCUUGUCCGUAGCAGCCAAAAGAUCAUGAACGUGGUGAUCAUUGUGUUGCAAACGUAAGGUUAUAACACACCAAGUGAAAAGUGAAAGAAAAGAAAGGAAAAUGUGAAAGUGAAAAGAAUUCUCCUUCGCAGUCGACAAACGUUUUCAUUCAACUCUCUUCUUGACACCGAUCAGACAAAUACUGUCCUAAUACUGUUUCCUAGUACUUGGAACAUCUAUACAGAUGUUUGGCUAUAAAGGUGAAUAAAAAGAAAAAAAUAUAGGAUUAUUAUUUCAGCGUUGCUUCGAGUUUACUGUUUCAAGUCAACUGUUUAUAGUUGAGGAUACAAAUAAUACAUGAAAACAAUUGAAACAAUAAUUCAAAGGGGAGACAGUUUCUCAGAGCAAGAAUGCACGUGCGGAUCAGCGACAAGCUGCUUUUAAGAAUUUUAAGUAUUUACCUUUAUUCACCAAGUCAUUUGUGCAGAUUUGUUAGUUUCUUUUUUUAAGGACACGAACCGAGAAACGGACCUCGCAGACGCGCUUUCGUCCUCGCCGUUCAGUAGAGGGGCCAAUGAACCACAAAUCAAUCCUCCGCGAUAGAUCAGUUGGAUCAAGUUCACAGUUAUUUACAAUUACACGAUACUCUCUUGUAACAAUAACUAUUGUUCCAGCAUGUCUCUCUUAAUCUAGUCGAUCACUCGAUCACUGUCAUAAAACAGCUUCACUGAACGUUCUCUCGGAACGAAAAUCCCAAGAAAUCUUGUCGAAAUCGUGCAGCAUUUCGCUACAUGCUCGCCAUAUAUAAUAUAUUGGAUAAUCGAGCCGCAAAGAAAGCUACGAGAUUAAGUUAAAUAAAAGAACCUACACGACACUGAGUAUUUAUACACGCUGUCAAAAUUGUGAAACUUCGCAGAGCACGUAUGUACAAGUAUUCUUUCAUCGCUUGAGCACAAGAGUAGAUCUGUUUCACAUG